rnacentral:rRNA from 1 species
AUGAACGCUGGCGGCGUGCCUCAUACAUGCAAGUCGAGCGAACGGACGAGAAGCUUGCUUCUCUGAUGUUAGCGGCGGACGGGUGAGUAACACGUGGAUAACCUACCUAUAAGACUGGGAUAACUUCGGGAAACCGUAGCUAAUACCGGAUAAUAUUUUGAACCGCAUGGUUCAAAAGUGAAAGACGGUCUUGCUGUCACUUGUAGAUGGAUCCGCGCUGCAUUAGCUAGUUGGUAAGGUAACGGCUUACCAAGGCAACGAUGCAUAGCCGACCUGAGAGGGUGAUCGGCCACACUGGAACUGAGACACGGUCCAGACUCCUACGGGAAGCAGCAGUAGGGAAUCUUCCGCAAUGGGCGAAAGCCUGACGGAGCAACGCCGCGUGAGUGAUGAAGGUCUUCGGAUCGUAAAACUCUGUUAUUAGGGAAGAACAUAUGUGUAAGUAACUGUGCACAUCUUGACGGUACCUAAUCAGAAAGCAACGGCUAACUACGUG